UGGGGAAUCUUGCACAAUGGGCGCAAGCCUGAUGCAGCAACGCCGCGUGCGGGAAGACGGCCCUAGGGUUGUAAACCGCUUUCAGGAGGGAAGAAAAUGACGGUACCUCCAGAAGAAGGUGCGGCCAACUACGUGCCAGCAGCCGCGUGACACGUAGGCACCAAGCGUUAUCCGGAUUUAUUGGGCGUAAAGAGCUCGUAGGCGGUUCGGUAAGUCGGGUGUGAAAAUCCAAGGCUCAACCUUGGGACGCCACCCGAUACUGCUGUGACUCGAGUGCAGUAGGGGGAGCAGGGAAUUCCUGGUGUAGCGGUGAAAUGCGCAGAUAUCAGGAGGAACACCAGUGGCGAAGGCGCUGCUCUGGGCUGUAACUGACGCUGAGGAGCGAAAGCAUGGGUAGCAAAACAGAUUAGAUACCCUGGUAGUCCAUGCCGUAAAACGUUGGGCACUAGGUGUGGGUCUCAACCAACGAGAUCCGCGCCGUCGCUAACGCAUUAAGUGCCCCGCCUGGGGAGUACGGUCGCAAGACUAAAACUCAAAUGAAUU
rnacentral:rRNA from 1 species